rnacentral:rRNA from 1 species
CCUACGGGACGCAGCAGUGAGGGAUAUUGGUCAAUGGGGGAAACCCUGAACCAGCAACGCCGCGUGAGGGAAGACGGUUUUCGGAUUGUAAACCUCUGUCCUCUGUGAAGAUAAUGACGGUAGCAGAGGAGGAAGCUCCGGCUAACUACGUGCCAGCAGCCGCGGUAAUACGUAGGGAGCGAGCGUUAAUCGGAAUUACUGGGCGUAAAGCGCUCGUAGGCGGUAUGUCAAGUCAAGGGUGAAAUCCCCGCGCUCAACGUGGGAACUGCCUUUGAAACUGGCAAACUGGAGUGUGUGAGAGGAUA